GUUGAUCUGGCCGAGCGGUUAGGCAGAUGAUUGCAAAUCAUUGCAGAUGGGUUCGAUUCCCUUGGUCAACUCCA
rnacentral:tRNA from 1 species